GACCUACGGGGCGCAGCAGUGGGGAAUAUUGGGCAAUGGGCGCAAGCCUGACCCAGCAACGCCGCGUGAAGGAAGAAGGCUUUCGGGUUGUAAACUUCUUUUCUCAGGGACGAAGAAAGUGACGGUACCUGAGGAAUAAGCCACGGCUAACUACGUGCCAGCAGCCGCGGUAAUACGUAGGUGGCAGGCGUUAUCCGGAUUUACUGGGUGUAAAGGGCGUGUAGGCGGGGAAGCAAGUCAGAUGUGAAAACCGCGGGCUCAACCUGUGGCCUGCAUUUGAAACUGUUUUUCUUG
rnacentral:rRNA from 1 species